rnacentral:misc_RNA from 1 species
UCUCCGUUGGUGAACCAGCGGAGGGAUCAUUACAGGACUCGCAAGACUCCUACAACCCUGUGAACUUAACUAUAAGCACGUUGCUUCGGCGGGUGUCUCGGAGGGGGUUUUCCCUCCCCGAGACGCUAAACCCGCCGGCAGCCUACUAUACUCUGUCUCUUUGCGUUGGCAUCUCGAGUACAAUCAAACAAGUUAAAACUUUCAACAACGGAUCUCUUGGUUCUG